GUGCUCGAAAGAGAACUUGAACACAGGUGCUGCAUGGCCGUCGUCAGCUCGUGUCGUGAGAUGUUGGGUUAAGUCCCGCAACGAGCGCAACCCUUGUCAUUAGUUGCUACCGCAAGGAGCACUCUAAUGAGGACUGCCGGUGACAAACCGGAGGAAGGUGGGGAUGACGUCAGGUCCUCAUGGCCCUUAUGGGUAGGGCUACACACGUCAUACAAUGGCCGGUACAGAGGGCUGCCAACCGCGAGGGGGAGCCAAUCCCAGAAAACCGGUCGUAGUCCGGAUCGUAGUCUGCAACUCGACUGCGUGAAGUCGGAAUCGCUAGUAAUCGCGGAUCAGCACGCCGCGGUGAAUACGUUCCCGGGCCUU
rnacentral:rRNA from 1 species